rnacentral:rRNA from 1 species
UACGGGGGGGGCAAGCGUUGUUCGGAAUUACUGGGCGUAAAGGGCUUGUAGGUGGCCAACUAAGUCAGACGUGAAAUCCCUCGGCUUAACCGGGGAACUGCGUCCGAUACUGGAUGGCUUGGAUUUGGGAGAGGGAUGCGGAAUUCCAGGUGUAGCGGUGAAAUGCGUAGAUAUCUGGAGGAACACCGGUGGCGAAGGCGGCAUCCUGGACCAAUAUUGACGCUGAGGAGCGAAAGCCAGGGGAGCAAACGGG